GAAGUAAAAGUCGUAACAAGGUUUCCGUAGGUGAACCUGCGGAAGGAUCAUUAAUGAAUUCGCUUUUGAAGCUGAAUGCUGGCCCUUAGGGGCAUGUGCACGCUUCAUUAGUCCCCUUUCACACCCCUGUGCACCUUUGAUAGAUUCGCUGGAAAGACGGUCGCCUCACGGUGACUUGAACUCCGGUGGGUCUAUAACCAUUACACACACAAACGUAUGUCUACGAAUGUCAUUUAUAUGGGCCAUGCUGCCUAUAAAAACCUAAUACAACUUUCAACAACGGAUCUCUUGGCUCUCGCAUCGAUGAAGAACGCAGCGAAAUGCGAUAAGUAAUGUGAAUUGCAGAAUUCAGUGAAUCAUCGAAUCUUUGAACGCACCUUGCGCCCCUUGGUAUUCCGAGGGGCAUGCCUGUUUGAGUGUCAUUAAAUUCUCAAACCUACCUUUUGCUUUGCUGUAAAUCGUAGUGUUUGGAUUGUUGGGGGUUGCUGGCUUGUCACCGAGUCGGCUCCUCUUAAAUGCAUUAGCGGGACUUUGUUGUUGCCUCUGCUACAUGGUGUGAUAAUUAUCUACGCCAGACCGUACGCAAUGAUACUUAUUGGAGUCCAGCUCUCUAAUCGUCUUCGGACAGCUUUCUGACCAUUUGACCUCAAAUCAGGUAGGACUACCCGCUGAACUUAAGCAUAU
rnacentral:rRNA from 1 species